GACGAACGCUGGCGGCGUGCCUAAUACAUGCAAGUUGAGCGCUGAAGGUUGGUACUUGUACCAACUGGAUGAGCAGCGAACGGGUGAGUAACGCGUGGGGAAUCUGCCUUUGAGCGGGGGACAACAUUUGGAAACGAAUGCUAAUACCGCAUAAAAACUUUAAACACAAGUUUUAAGUUUGAAAGAUGCAAUUGCAUCACUCAAAGAUGAUCCCGCGUUGUAUUAGCUAGUUGGUGAGGUAAAGGCUCACCAAGGCGAUGAUACAUAGCCGACCUGAGAGGGUGAUCGGCCACAUUGGGACUGAGACACGGCCCAAACUCCUACGGGAGGCAGCAGUAGGGAAUCUUCGGCAAUGGGCGAAAGUCUGACCGAGCAACGCCGCGUGAGUGAAGAAGGGUUUCGGAUCGUAAAACUCUGUUGGUAGAGAAGAACGUUGGUGAGAGUGGAAAGCUCAUCAAGUGACGGUAACUACCCAGAAAGGGACGGCUAACUACGUG
rnacentral:rRNA from 1 species